rnacentral:lncRNA from 1 species
CUGAGGUGGUAAAGAUGCUUGCCCAGUUUGAGCUCUGUGACCACAAGUUUGAGUCCUGUGUGUUUUUUUUUUUGCAUUGGUGUCGAGUGCUGCCAGGGGUGUGGUAGGAUUAACCCCCUGGAGCUGCCCGGACACGUGCAGGCAUGUGGUGCUGCAGGUGAGGGACACCCCUCUCCUCCAAUCAGCACACUCAAGCACAAGUGACUCACAGGUGGGUGGGGCAAGGAGUCUGCCUGCACUUCCUCCCUCUGUCUCCCGUGUGCGGUCACAGGGUUCAUAACUGCAAACCAAGAUGUGAAAAAACACACCACUGGCUGAUCCAAAACAGGCAGGUAUGGUAUAACAGAAAUAAUUAACUAUUCUAAUGUUUCAGUCACAGGGGCUUCAGAGGGGUGCAGCAGGGGAGAAGGUCUCUAAGUCACUCUGUCUGGAGGUUCAGCUGCUAUCAAGUCCUAUAGGGGAAAGCACACUCUUUACAGCUGGCCCCAGCAGCCUCAGGACAAGUCAGGUAAUGCAAAGCAACAGCCUGCGUGGGUGGACAAUCGUCAGCCGGCUCCAGUUGCACACUGACGAGCGUGGAUGCAGACAGCACCAGAAUGCUGCUGAGCACUGGCCAUCUCUUCCCAAGAUAAAACACAGCUUCCACUUCACGCAGUGCUCAGGGCCACAGAGCAUCGUCUGUCUGGUGACAGGAAUGGUGUCGGAUUCCUUCAGCAGGUUAGGUUUUUGA